UUAUUUAUUUAUUUUUGAGAAACAGCUAAAUUCUUGGUGACUUUCACUGCAGCCUUACACAGUGAGCUGUGAAUCGCACCAGAACCAUGUGUGAUGUAACAGAACCAUACAUUCCACAGAUUCCCUUUCCCAAAAGUGAGUUCUAGUUGGCUCUGACUUGCUAAUACCUGAUUUGAAAACCAAGAGAGGAAAUGAACUCAUGAUGGAAGAGAAAAGAGGCCCUAGGCAGGCCUACACUGUCUUGCUGGAAAAGAGCAACCCACAUCAGCCACCUCGGCAUGUGAGCUGCUGAGACAGCUCUUCAGACCGCAUCCAGAUCACAGCUGUCCUGCCCAUGGAGCACCUGAUCGGGGUGCUUGGAGGCUAACACCUGCCCUGCAUGGCCUAUGUCACCCUCCAAAAGGGAGGCAUCAGUCUUAAAUUACAUAGCAAGCAGGCAAGAGAAAGGAGGCAAACAAUAAAACACUUCCCAGAAGAAGAAAAAGGAAAAUUAGUCUCUCACCAUCCUACUAAAUACACAAUUCUCUAUUUUUGUCACUUAACGAAAAAUCAGGAAAGGGGUUCAGCUUUAAUUAAAAGAGCAUGUUUUCUGUGGGACUCUACAGAAUUAUAUUUUAGAUUUCUAAGAAUGGGUUGCUUUUAAUACAAAGGAACUUUUCCACUGGAAGGAAGGAAAGGAUGAUAAAAUGAAAAAUCCCUGAAAAGUGCUUAUAAGACAGAAAUGAGGGAUAUCUUACUACUUUGUCCUACUGUAAUCCGUAGAGUAAUCUGGAUUUUCUUUAGUAAGGUAGGCACAAAACAAGGACCUGUAUGUAUCAGACAAUUUAACUGUACAGGCACGGUAAAAUCUAUACAAUUGAAGUUCAAC
rnacentral:lncRNA from 1 species